UGGGGAAUAUUGCACAAUGGGCGCAAGCCUGAUGCAGCCAUGCCGCGUGUAUGAAGAAGGCCUUCGGGUUGUAAAGUACUUUCAGCGGGGAGGAAGGUGUUGAGGUUAAUAACCUCAGCAAUUGACGUUACCCGCAGAAGAAGCACCGGCUAACUCCGUGCCAGCAGCCGCGGUAAUACGGAGGGUGCAAGCGUUAAUCGGAAUUACUGGGCGUAAAGCGCACGCAGGCGGUCUGUCAAGUCGGAUGUGAAAUCCCCGGGCUCAACCUGGGAACUGCAUUCGAAACUGGCAAGCUAGAGUCUUGUAGAGGGGGGUAGAAUUCCAGGUGUAGCGGUGAAAUGCGUAGAGAUCUGGAGGAAUACCGGUGGCGAAGGCGGCCCCCUGGACAAAGACUGACGCUCAGGUGCGAAAGCGUGGGGAGCAAACA
rnacentral:rRNA from 1 species